GCAAUACGAGUUUGGCUAAUAAGCCGUACGAGGCUUGCUAGGGUUUUAUCCUUCGAUCCUAAAGCGAAAGGAAGAAAACAAAAAAUCUUCUCCCUCGCGUUCUCCUUUCAUUUUUCUGGUUCGCAGCGUGCAAUGGCUGGUAGAGGUCGUGUACCUCGGAAUGUUAAUGAUGGGCGGCGAGGUUAUCCUGAUAUGCUGGAAGGGCCAUUUAUUCGUGGCCCUGUCCCGCGUCCACCCCAUCCUGCCUUGUAUGAGGAACUUGAAUUGCAGCAAAUUGAAAUCCGGAGGCUUUUGGCAGACCAUCAUGCUUUUGUUGAAGAUCGUGCUGCUCUGCAGCAAGAACUAAUGGCUGCCAAAGAAGAAAUUUAUCGCAUGAAUAUGGUCAUUGCUGAUAUGCGUGCUGAUAAGGAGGCUCAUUGUAGAGAGUUGAUUGAGAAAGGCUUGAAGCUAGAGUCUGAUCUUAGAGCAGCUGAACUUCUAAGAAACGAGGCAAUACAACUUCGAUCAGAAAUUCAAAAACUGAAUGUCAUGAGACAAGACCUUGUUGGACAGGUCCAGACUUGUCAACAGGAACUGACAAGGGCACAAGCUGAUAACAAACAGAUUGCCAUUCUGAGGAGUGAGAUUGAUGGUCUGCGACAGGAACUUAUGCGUGCUAGGACUGCUUUUGAGUAUGAGAAGAAGGAAAAUAUUGAGUUAAUGGAACAAAGGCAAGGAAUGGAGAAAAAUUUGGUAUCCAUGGCACGUGAAAUUGAAAAGCUGCGGGCUGACUUAGCAACCAUUGAUGGGAGGCCACGGGCUGCGGGUGGAGCCUAUGGGAAGAAACUUGGUAGUCCUGAAGGACCCUUCCCUUCAUCAUUUGGGGAUAGCUACAACCUUCAUUCGGGUGUUGCCGACAAGGCCCCUGUGUAUGGCGGGCGUUCGGGUCCGUGGGGAGCAUUUGACAAGUCUCGCCCUGGACGCCAUUGAGAAUGAAAGUUGAAUUGUCCUCUAAAAUGCACAUGGAUGCCCUUUAGUUUACUCAUGGUGGUUAUAUUUUUAAGGAUAAGGCUACCCAUACAUUGGAAGGACCGAGCAUACCUUCUCCCCUUUAGGGGAUAGAAAUUAGAUCUCACUGAAAAAAAUCAGGAGAGAAUUAGGAAAGCAAAACAAGUGCAGUAGUAUCUCAGAGAAGAAGAUUUUCGCUAAUCCUUAAAUGGCUGCCAUGUUGCCUUCCAUGAUGCCCAUGAGAUAUCUCAAGGGGAUGACAAAAUUAGUGUGGCAAGAUAGGCAGAGAUGAAGCGAAGUUUUCCGGUUGGAGCUCAACACUGCAGAUACAUCCAUAUAUGGUAUGGACCAACUCAAUCUAAAGUUCUCCAAGUUCUUGGAGUUGUGAGAUCCCCACACGGUGGCGAAAAAAACUUUGGGAUCGUGGGAUCUACUGGUUCUCUGAAACGUCAUAUUGGACCCCUUGUUUGCCUUGUUUGUUUAGCCAGAUUUAAUGCUUUGAGAUGGGACAUUAACGGACGAUUGGCUCGGCAAUGUGUCUGACCACUGUCGCAUAGGGAGACGGCAUGAACAUUAAUGGAAGCCGCUAACGGGGAAGAGUGGAUCAGUGACCCUAAUUGUUGCAUAAACUAGUUGGCUAGUUCAAUGGAGCAGAAGAGUUAACAGAACCCAAAAGGUAGAACGCAGCAUUCCUUGCAAUAUGUCUCGUUUCAGAUGGUGAGCCUGUCCCGGAUUUGUAUCCCAAGGAAUGAUCAUCGAAGCUAUCUGUUUCAUACGGUGUGCGGUGUAAGUGGGGGAGUUGAUUUGAGUGCAUGCAACCGAGAGUCUCUUUCUUCAUAUCAUGUGCGUGAUAUGCCUUUCCUGCACGGAUAUAAUGUGGGCAUCUUUAUGGAGAAUCAGAACAAAACCAUGUCUUAUGUGCAUAUCUCAAAAGAUUAGAACAAAAGUUUUCAGUGGUGUAGGAUUGCUGAGAACUAAUUUGUGCCUGGAGGACCAACUCAUACAUGAGUCCUUUUCGUCCGAUAUCAUAUUGCUGUCUCAAUUAAAAGGGAAGGAUCACUCAACCAUGGAUCCUACUAAAGCUUCUGAACUUAUUUGCAGGUUACGGUGCUCAAGUGUUGUAUUUUCAUGGCCUGCUAUUGGGCUCCAGAAUAUAAUUGUCAGUGCACAUGGGCCAAAGUCGAGCACUGCAGUAGAGGCAAAGAACGUUCUACUCUUAUCUGAUAGGGGAUAUCAGAAUCAUAAUUCCAAUAGAAGGGUCUCCAGAGACCCAAUCUGUUAUUACCUUUGCAUUAGCUAACAGAGGACGGGGACAUUACCCCAGCUGACUUGGCAUGAGGUUAUAUUUGGUAGGCUAACUAUUGCCUAACUUGUUACAGGCACAGGACAGAUCUAUCCUUCGUAUCAAUUUAACUGUCUACGGAUUUUGAUGAAAGGUGGAUGUUAUUUGUUCGAAAUGAGAGAAUGUAUACGAAAUUGGAGGGGAUAGGUGAUGAGCAAUUUUCAAUAAUAAAGCAGCGGGGUCUUAAUCGGAUAGAAUGCAUUAGAUAGGGAUGGAAAUCUGCUUGAUUCGAGCUCAUGAUCUCAGUUUGCUUUCCUUGAUUCAUUUGGGGACUUUCCUUGAAAGGAUGCAAGGAAUAAUGAAUGGAGUA